CAAUGGCGCGGCCUUAAUGGCCCAAGUUACUCAAUUAUUAUCUAAGGCCCUAGGAAUAAAUUGGAAGUUACAUUUGCAUUUAUAGGCCUCAGUUCAGGACAGGUGGAAAGGAUGAAUAGGACCUUAAAGGAAACUUAAUUUAAAGUUAACUACAGAGACUGGCCAUGACUGGGUAAGCCUCCUCCUGUUUGCGUCCUCCAUGCAAGAUGUACCCCUUAUGAUAAAGGAUUUACUUCCUUUGAAAUAAUUUAUGGAACCCCCUUUGGUUCCUAAACUUGGGGAAGCUAUGCUAACAGAAAUGUCUAACCAUAAUCUUGUACAGUCACUGCAGGCUUUGCAACGUGUUCUUUUACGUGCCUAUCCUUUAGUGGCCGAGGACCAUCGGCCUCCUGAGAAAAACUCCAACCACUGUUUUUCACCUGGACAGCUGGUGUGGGUAAAAAGGCAUCACCCUCCUGAACUGGAACCCAAGUGGCCAGGGCCUUACUCCGUAGUACUAACUACUCCCUCAGCUAUUAAGGUUGCAGGAAAACAGCAUUGGAUCCAUCACGCUCAAGUCAAACAGGCAGUGGGACAAUAUCCAGAGACGGCUGAAAGAUGGACAGUCCAGAGACACUCGGAGGAUCCCCUGGAGGUAAGAUUUACCAAGUGUUAAUAUGUUCAGUAGGACUCUUUGUUGCUUGUUGUUAAAGUGUUACUAUGGGGAGAGCUUUUCUGCCCAUACCUUGUACUGUAUUAUCUGUUGGAUUUUGAUGUGGGUAAGAGUAGUUCAGAAUUUGGCCCAAAAAGACAAUCAGUGAUUUGAUUGGACAUAAAACCAGUGGGGAAUGUAAUAACCUGAGGGGCAGAAGCCCCUCCCCACGUUGGCGUGAUUGCCACGCCCCACUGCAGAAGAAAGAGGAGCUCCCGCCCCACAUUGAUGGGCAGAGG